rnacentral:rRNA from 1 species
UACAGAGGGUGCAAGCGUUAAUCGGAAUUACUGGGCGUAAAGCGCGCGUAGGUGGUUCGUUAAGUUGGAUGUGAAAUCCCCGGGCUCAACCUGGGAACUGCAUCCAAAACUGGCGAGCUAGAGUAUGGUAGAGGGUGGUGGAAUUUCCUGUGUAGCGGUGAAAUGCGUAGAUAUAGGAAGGAACACCAGUGGCGAAGGCGGCCCCCUGGUUGGAUACUGACGCUGAGACGCGAAAGCGUGGGGAGCAAGCAGG